GUGGUUCUACAACGUCUGCUUGACCAUGAUACAACUACCUAAUUCUAUAACCCGAACUAGAUUAUAGAAUUCUAGCGAAUUGUUUUAUGUGUUUACUCUCUGGAAAUUUUGUACAGAAAAGAAAGAGGAAGAAAAUGAUGAUCCUAUUUGGAAACUGUGAUUGCAAAUAUAUAUGUUGUUUCACACCCUUUCAAAUACAUGUUGAGCAUAUUUGAAAACACACGACUCUUUCUAAGAGUUAUGUCUCUUAAUGAAACGUUUCUUAAUUAAUAUGUUAACUAAAAAACUUAAUCUGAAAUUAAAAUUAAUGAACUUGGAUUAAUUUUAACUUCCAAGGCCCAAGGCCCUUGUCUUGAUUAAUUAAUAUUAAUUGUAUUAGGCUAUAUUGUACAAACUUAAUCCACACAACCAUAAGGCCCAAACCUUCAAUCUAUUUCCAAAUGAUCCAAGUUCUAAUUACUAGAACAUAGGACUAGACCUAUUUAAAUGGCAAUGGGAACUAAAAGUUCCCUGAUGUGGGACACUAAGAGUCUCAAAACUCCAACAAUAACCUAUUUAUUUGCAAUCACAGUUUCCAAAUAGGAUCAUCAUUUUCUUCCUCUCUCUCUUCCGUACAAAAUUUCUAGAGAGUAAACACACAAAACAAUUCGCUAGAAUUCUAUAAUUUAGUGCAGGUUAUAGAAUUAGGUAGUUGUAUCUUGGUCGAGCAUACAUUGUAGAACCACAAGCACAAGAGUGGGACGGAAAUAAUGUUCGAAUGACAUAGCUUUUGCACUAGCCUCUACUUGUGGUUAAUCAAGUUAGUACCAAUUUAAUUCCUAUAUUUAUUCCUGUUAUUUCAUUCUGUAUAGCAAGUAUUUUUCGUCAAUAAAGUAUUUCAAGUUAUGUUAUUUUUGUUAUAUUUUAUUUAUUUCUUUAUUGUUCUCCAACAAUCAUGCCUUAUACUGCUGAAAGGCUUUCAAGCCACUCUUCCAUCAACCUAGUUGCUCCAAUUGAUAACAUUUUAUACUUUGCAUAUGCUAUAAGUUUGUUGGCAUUCUUGUUGAAUGAUCUAAACUCAUUGAGUGUGAACCUCAAAUUGGUUUAAUUUACAAAAAUGUUAAAUUUAUGAGAAAAAGGAAAAUUUGAAUAAUUAGGACUCUGUACACAGAUUCAUUGAACUAAUUUUCAAUGAUUGAGAUUAAACAAAUUGACUAGAUUGGAUGAUGUAUCUUAAUGAAUUUAGUCAGCACACAUUCCAUCCCGUCUCCUAACUACAGGUAAUCAGGUAAUCAAAUUAUCAGCAGAUGUGAGCAAGAUGGCAUACCCUUCAGAAGAGACAAGGAUCUUCGUUUGAGGAUGCAUGUUCAAAAUGGAAUAAAAGGCAUGCUGAACAUGGUCUUAUUGUUGAAUGUAGACCUAGCAAUUGUGUUGUAUUUCCUGUGUUCGUGUCGUUUUCGUGACACAUUGGAUAUCUUAACAGGUAGUGUUGUAUAAUACCUGUUAAAAUAAACGGGUAAUAUGACUGAUCCCGAAAUCGACCCGUUAAUAUUUACGGGUAGUAUGACUAGACCUAUUACCCAUUAAAAAAAAUUAAAAAUCAAUAAAUAAUCAAAUGAAAAACAUAAUACUAAAUUAGUAUCUACAUAUCACAUUGUGAAAAUUUGAAAUAACCAGAAAUGAUCGUAUGAAGAGUAAUCCCAAUUAAAUAGAGAGACUAUCUAGGAUGAAAUCGAGGAUAAGAUAUCUAAUCCUCAUAGGAUUAUGACUACGUUGCCUAAUCAUCAAGGUAUCCUAAUUUGACUUGAAUUAGGUGUCGAUCGAUUGGGAGAUAAGUAGUAUCUUUAAUGGCUUAAGCCUAGUUUGUCUUACUAUGACUAUCUGACUUCGCUUGGUAUUCUAACUUCGUUUUACUAGUCUGAUAUGACUAAGGCUAGUCUAAUCUUACUAAAAAGGCUGGCUAGUCAGGUUCGACUAAGAUGUCUAUAAGAUUAACCUGUUCUGAUCAACAUCAUGUCUCGUAACUUGUUUGCCUGAGCGUCACAUGCUAUAUACAUUUUUGUUUUUCUUGCCACUCAAGGUGCCAUGUGUCAUGGUCUCAAUAUAUCAUGGUCCCACAUGUGCUUUGGCAUAGUUGUUGUAUUUAUGUUACGAAGCCCUUUUGUACUGCAAUCAACUUAAGAAUUUCUUAUUUGACAUAUUAGUAGAGACUUCGAUAUAAGUACUCUCCAUUUGGUCACAUUUAAUGAACUCACUAUCUAUUAAGUAUCUAUAUACUUGUCUUGGUGUCUUUUGCACCAGUGGCUCCAGACUAGUCAUUCUCUAAAGUGAGAUGUCAUAUUAUGUAUUGAUUUUUGGAAUCAAAUUUAUACACAUCCUUGUGUGGAUCGCCGAAAACCUACAAAACAAACAAACAAUCAUAAAACAACCUAGGCACCAGUAUGAUAUUGGCCAUGAACUCUCCAAUGGUCAAGUUAGUAAAGGAUUUUAUAACUCAAAAUGUAGGCUAGAGAGAGAUAGUAAAGGAUACUUUUAGUAUGAACCUAAGGGGUGUAUUUAUUUAUACUAGUUCAUAUAGAGACUUGUUAGGAUAGUAAUCUUCAUCAAACUGAGAUAAUCCUAGAGGAAAUAAAGUUCUUCUUCUUAUUAGGAUUGUGGUUAUUUGUGAACAUGCCAAUACCAUAAGUAUAGAAAUUUUCAAGAUGUACGGAUAUAUCCUCAUUGGAACUUAAUUAAGUUUCUCUUUUGAGAAGCAAGU
rnacentral:lncRNA from 1 species